AGAUGCUUCUGGGUCGCGGUGUGCUGAGCUAGGAGUCCGAGUGUGUGAGCUUGAGAGCCGCGCGCUAGGGCGACCCGGCGAGGGAUGGCGGCCACCGGGACCGCGGCUGCCGCAGCCACGGGCAGGCUCCUGCUUCUGCUGCUGGUGGGGCUCACGGCGCCUGCCUCGGCGCUGGCCGGCUACAUCGAGGCUCUUGCAGCCAAUGCCGGAACAGGAUUUGCUGUUGCUGAGCCUCAAAUCGCAAUGUUUUGUGGGAAGUUAAAUAUGCAUGUGAACAUUCAGACCGGGAAAUGGGAACCUGAUCCAACAGGCACCAAGAGCUGCUUUGAAACAAAAGAAGAAGAGGAGGAAGAGGACGAUGAAGAGGAAGAGGAAGAUGAAGAGGAAGACUAUGAUGUUUAUAAAAGUGAAUUUCCUACUGAAGCAGAUCUGGAAGACUUCACAGAAGCAGCUGUGGAUGAGGAAGAUGAGGAUGAGGAAGAAGGGGAGGAAGUGGUGGAGGACCGAGAUUACUACUAUGACACCUUCAAAGGAGAUGACUACAAUGAGGAGAAUCCUACUGAACCCGGCAGC
rnacentral:sRNA from 1 species